rnacentral:rRNA from 1 species
CUACGGGAGGCAGCAGUGGGGAAUAUUGGACAAUGGGGGGAACCCUGAUCCAGCAAUGCCGCGUGUGUGAAGAAGGUCUUCGGAUUGUAAAGCACUUUCACUAGGGAAGAUGAUGACGGUACCUAGAGAAGAAGCCCCGGCUAACUUCGUGCCAGCAGCCGCGGUAAUACGAAGGGGGCUAGCGUUGCUCGGAAUGACUGGGCGUAAAGGGCGCGUAGGCUGUUUGUACAGUCAGAUGUGAAAUCCCCGGGCUUAACCUGGGAACUGCAUUUGAUACGUGCAGACUAGAGUCCGAGAGAGGGUUGUGGAAUUCCCAGUGUAGAGGUGAAAUUCGUAGAUAUUGGGAAGAACACCGGUUGCGAAGGCGGCAACCUGGCUCGGAACUGACGCUGAGGCGCGAAAGCGUGGGGAGCGAACAGGAUUAGAUACCCUGGUAGUCCACGCUGUAAACGAUGUGUGCUGGAUGUUGGGUGAUUUUAUCAUUCAGUGUCGGAGCUAACGCGUUAAGCACACCGCCUGGGGAGUACNGCCGCAAGGUUGAAACUCAAAGGAAUUGACGGGGGCCCGCACAAAGGGUG